CCACGGUGAAUACGUUCCCGGGCCUUGUACACACCGCCCGUCACACCAUGAGAGUUUGUAACACCCAAAGACGAUGGAGUAACCUUCGGGAGCUAGUUGUCUAAGGUGGGACAGAUGAUUAGGGUGAAGUCGUAACAAGGUAGCCGUAGGAGAACCUGCGGCUGGAUCACCUCCUUUCUAAGGA
rnacentral:rRNA from 1 species